GUGUGACUCUGCUCAGUUGGUAGAAUAUGAGACUCUUAAUCUCAGGGUCGUGGGUCUGAGGUCCAUGUUGGGCA